UAGUCUACUCGGAAAUCUUGGAAAGUAAGAAUAAUAAAGGGGUGAUUAUCAUUUAUCCAUAACAUUAGUAGGAUAAUUCUUAUCCUUGAUUCUUCAGGCUGCCUCGAGAGAUUUGUCUCUUCUCUUCUCUCUUCGCUUAUUAAUCUCAUCUUCCCAAGUAAUGUUGCUUCAAAGAACGAAAACGCUCCUUCAUGGAUACUUAUCCACUCCCUAAUGAGUUGAAAACUGAGUUUGUGACAUGUUUAUCUCCUCCUAUCAUGGUGGCUUAUCUGGUGGGCCCCCGGCAAUUAAGGGCAGUGGACCAUGGAAUGUGUAUGGCUCACUCGAUCAUAAAUGGCAGAUGCAAAGCUUUCAACGUAGAAAUAAGGCUAGAGAAGUGGGCCUUUUCUCCCCCCAGGCCCUCAAUCGCACAGAAAAAAUCCUGGUUAUCUGUCCUCGACCAUGGCUAAUGGACAGUGGUCAUCGUCUUGCUCAUGUGCUGUAUCUUCUACACUCGUGGGAGAUGACACAGCAACAGAUGUGAUGAUAAUAAUCUUGGUAACCAUGCACUCCGGCGACCGAUGUUGCUCUCUUUGUUCUCGUAAUUACUUGUCCAGGAAAGAAUAUUGGAUGGAGGAUUGACAAAAAAGGAGUGGAUAAAAGGAGAGGUGUCGAGAAGGAAGGAUUUGAUGUUUGUACAAAAAGGACAACGAUAUAAGAAAGCAUUCCUCCCCCUUGUAAUUCUUAAUCAUUUUCCAUUUAGAUGGAUAUCGACUGUUAUCCUUUUUAUUUAUUUAAUAAUAUUGAUUCAGAUGAA